AAGGAAUCAAACCGAGAAUUCAGCCUGGAUCUUUACCAUUGUCACAGGGAAGCGCUGAGCGAGGUGGGAGCUGCUCAGAUCUAGCGACACCUCUGUGUGCCUUGACUUGACUUAACYGGAGUGGCCUCAGGAGGCGAGAGUUCCCUUGCGGUUUGGAAAGGAAAUUGGAGAAGUCUUGCUCCUGGUCCACUUCUCAAAGGCAGCUGAAAUUGUCCAUCCUGCAGAGGAGCAAUUCCAUGACGUUUGUCUGAGAUGCUGCAUAAACACGAGAGUGGGACCUUUCUGCCCGCUGCUGCACGUCUCACGGACUUGGACGUGGCAGCUGACAUCCAGCCA
ensembl:lncRNA